rnacentral:tRNA from 1 species
GAGGGUAUAGCUCAGUGGUAGAGCACGUGCCUAGCAUGCACAAGGUCCUGAGUUCAGUUCCCAGUACCUCCA